CGGCACGCCGGCGCUGGGAAGACUGGGGCAGUGUUCGGGGCCCAGGGCGGCUGAAAGGGCUCAGUGUGUGCCGGAGCCAGGAGCUGAUUUCCCACGGUGAAGCAGGGAUCAACCCAGCAGCAGCGUCCGGAGCCUCCCAGGAGCCAGAUGCUGGAAAUGCCAGAGCCAUGGCAGCGCAGCAGAACCGUCAGCCCGAUGGAUGGCGCGGGGCUGUAGCCACACUUGCUGUGAAUCAGGGAAGGAUCCGGAUCCAUGCAUUAACUCACUGGCCACCUCAGCCCACAGCAUGACUUCACCGUCGGGUGAACAUCCAUCCCACCAUGGCUUUCUCCAUCCUCGUGGGCUUGUUGUCUUCAGUGCCUGGAUGCCAUCCUGCCACGGAUUUACAGGACAAACCCAGACCUUGGAGCUGCCUGUGAGGCUGAAUUGAGCAAGCAGAGAGAGGGAAACUGAGGCACGCUGGGAAAUCAUGUGUUUCAGCAGCCUCUGGUGUUUCGGUGCGAUGGAGGUUGAUGGAUCAGGAGGGAGAGCCUGGCUUUGGGAAGGCAAAAACCUUCUCCACACGGGAGCCACCGCUGCUGUGCUCUGGCGGAG